rnacentral:rRNA from 1 species
GACAGAGGGUGCAAACGUUGUUCGGAAUUACUGGGCGUAAAGCGCGUGUAGGCGGCAAGCCAAGUCGGGUGUGAAAGCCCUGGGCUCAACCCAGGAAGUGCAUUCGAUACUGGCAAGCUAGAGUCCCGGAGAGGAUGGUGGAACUCUCGGUGUAGAGGUGAAAUUCGUAGGUAUCGAGAAGAACACCGGUGGCGAAGGCGGCCAUCUGGACGGUGACUGACGCUGAGACGCGAAAGCGUGGGGAGCAAACAGG